CUGAGCUGCGCUGGGCUGAGCUGAUGAGGCACGAGGCUGCAGGAGCCAGGUCCUGGGAAGCACCUCACGCGAGUCAAAAGCAAAGGGACAGCCGUCUCACCUCCUUCCCUUAGAGAUCUGUUCCUCCCCCUCAAGGCCCUGGGGUUGAUUCCAGUGGGGCUGCCAACCACAGAUUCCUGACCCCCGGCCACAAGAGGAUGAUGCAACCUAAGCCUGAGCCAUCAUACAGCCCCACCCCCAGCCUGGAGCCUGAAUGAGGGGACUGAUCAAAGCUGGGCCAAUCAGCUGGGACUUCUACACAGGAAAGCAGGGGAGGGGAGAGAAGCCUUCUCAUUGCCUGGGCACAGCUGAGCUGAAUAAUAUAAGCCAGGAGCUUCUGGUGGCCAUGCCUCCUGUGCCUGUCCUCGCAAGGAUGAAGUCAUCCCCAGUAAGAGAAAAUGAGGCCUGAGCACAGAGAAAAGUCAAGACGAGUGAUGGAGGUAACAGGAUGUGCAAUGGGACUGUUCCUGUUGUCCGGGAAUUCCAGCUAAAGGUCAGAGGCGAGGACAAAGAGGCUCUAAGCCAAGAAGCACACCACCUGCUGAAGCGAGCUGCCCACCAUGGCACACACUGCCUACCCGGGCUCACUAAAAGGUGACCUGCUGUCCCCAUCGCUCCUUCCUAAUCUGUACGAGAUGACUUGGGAAGGAGAAAAAGGGGAGACGGAGGCAGAAUCAUCUGUCCUGCGGGGAGGGCAGUGUUUGUGGUGAGAGGUGACCUUCCCCUAAGCCAAAUACUGGGACACUCUGGGGGUUCUGCCCAGAGAGGGGGCCCUGAGGGAAGGGGAGACUCGCCUUCUGUUCCCUGGUUGGCUAUUAUUUUCUAAUGUGCCCUUGGACUUACCGAAGGAAGGUGGAGGAGAAUGGGCACUGUUUCAGGAUGGGAAUGAGGCAAAGGGAGAGCUCCCUGCACUCCUACUGUUGCCCUGACAAGAAGGGAAGAAUUUCCAUUCGGGCUAAGUGGACAUCGUGGACGGUAGCUGGGCUUGGGCCCACAGGUCCUCCAGAGGACUCACCAGCAUUUGAAUGUCUGCCUCAGAGGGGGAGUCAGUCACUGUGAGCCCGAAACACAGUAACAGCGGGCCUAGAAAGGACGGCAGCUGUGGCCAGGUGGGUAAAGAUACUCUCGUCCAGUUUCCUCUCCUUCUGCCCACCCCAAACACACCAGUGAGCUUUGAAGCCAGAUACCCGAGGGUUACCAUAGAAAUGUGGAUGAAGACAGUGGGGACUGAAGUCAGGUUUCUGAGGGUUACUGUAGAUAUUCAAUGUGAACAUGAUUGCCUUUCACAAUUUGCUAUUUUCUUGUUUGAGCUGAGGGGUGACUCAGGGGUCAUGAGGACCUGUGAGCCUGUUUUGCUGAAGAGAGAACGCCUUCAGGGAGGUUGUGAUGACAGGAUGAUCAGCCCCCCAGUGGCUGUUGACGCCCAGAAGUCAGAUUGCCCAGGAGCUUCUCUACAGUGAAAGAAAUACGGACUUACCCUUCGUUUCUCCAAAACUCCUCCUGCCAAGCCCCUUGGCUCUGUAAAACGCCCUGCUUUCUUCUCUGGUUAAGGCAGAUUUAAGAGAACCUCUCCUCCCGCCUUCUUGUUUUGGUGAAUUCAAAUAAACCUUUCUCCGUCUCCAUGCAGGGAGGGCUCAGCGACUGACCUACUGCGCGUGGGUGUGUGAACUGGAGACUAAGAGGUUCCCUAUGGAGCGGGGCCUUGAAGAAGGGAGGGAGGGAUAGCUCAGAACCUGAUCACGCUCCUUCCCCAGCUUCAUUGCUAGCAGUCAGGAUUCCAGUUCAAGACCGCUCCAUGGAGGGCAGGGGAAAAGGGAGAAGAGGUUUUAAUCAUUUGAGAUUGAAGUCUAAAAGUAGACUGGACCUUUAAGAACCAGGAAGGGGAGUCUUCCUGUGUCUGGCCGGGCCUGUCUGCCCCCAGGGAGCGUUUCCCACCGCUUCCGACUCUGCCCUGCAGUGGGGAGGGGCCGGAUCCCCUGAGGCUGUGCUGCCCAGGCCCACAGGCCCGACUACCUGGCUUCUGGCUCCUUUGGUAGGUGAGGGACUGCAAGCAGGAGGAAGGGAGGAGUCAGGCAUUUUCCUUCCAUUCUCUCCAUCUCCAGUGCAGUUGCUGGCUGCCGGCUCUUCUUCUCUUCUGCCUCCAGGCUCAGUGCGGUCCAGCUUUUGCUGUUUGAGCCUCGCCUCUGGGCUGUGGGAACACGUCUUCCUCCAUUUGCCCCUCUGUUGAUAAUAUCUGGAUAGUCUUACUGUGCCCUGUUCAGCUUCUCAGCUUUUCCAUCACUUGUGUAACUUAUCAUCUGCAUCAAAUUCCCUCUGUUUCAAAUAUUUAAAGUGCUUUUUGUCUUUUGAGCGGACCUUAACUCAUCUAUUUCCCCAGAGGUUUAUAAGGGUCUAUGCUGUAAAGGACGCUGCUAUAAAUAUCGCAGAGUCGGGGAUAGCAUUUGUAAGAAAUCAAAUAGUUUUAUAUUAAUACCUUCAUCAAGACAUUUCAAUAGACUAGUUACAAACACCCCAACUCAAAUGUCAUCUCUUCAGAAGGGUAUCUCAGCAUCCCUCACCCCAGUCGCAUCCCAUUACCUUAUUUUGUGUUUUUUAAAGCCGUUUUCAGUACCUGAAUUCAUCUUAUCUAUUUAUUUGUGUCCAUGUGUAUUAUCUCCCUCCCCUCCCACUGGAAGAUAAGAUCCUUGAGGCCAGUAACUCUUGCUGUAUCCCUAUGCGCUCAAUAAUUAAUAACUGACCGGCCAGCAUCAGGACCUGGUGAAAUGGAGUAUGCGCCAUCCUGAGACGCUCCACCAGCAGCAGCGGGAUGUGAUAGUUGUAUGUCUCUUGGUUGUCAAAUCUUGAGGGGGUGAGAUCGUUUUUAUUGUAUGUAAGUUAAAGCAUUCUUGGAAUUGUAUACAUGGGAGAGAGAGAGAGAGGAAAAGAGAUACAGAGAGAGAGAGAGACACAGAGAGAGACAGCGUGUAAUACCCACAAGGGGGAAUGUAAUGGGCAGAUUUUAUUUUCACUCGCCGAUUUACCAUUUUUUCCUUCUGUAGCAUCCUCCUUUUUUUUGAGGAAUUGCUCCUAUCCCACCCAUAAAAAUAGCUAAGAAUGCAGAAUUUGUGGAGGUGUGUAGAUUUUUUUAUAAUCUUUUAAAUUUCAUUUGUGGUUAGACUCUUCAGAUUUUCUGUUUAUUUUGGCCUCUGUUUAGAUCACUACAUUUCCACAGAACAUCAUCUACUAUACAUAUAUUUUAAAAUUCACACUAGUAAAUUGUAUACAGAAUCUUUUCAAUUUUAAAAUGACUCCUGUGUCGGUGGUUUAUGGCCUUUUGCAUUAUAAUUUUGUACCUAUGUGUUUUUCUUUCUUUUGCUGGAGGUCAGCUUGCCAGACUUGCUAGAGGUCUGCUUAGAUUUGCUUGUUUUCAAAUACCCAGCUCUUUGUUUUAUUUAUCAGUUUUACCAUGUUUUGUAAACUUUGAUUAAUUCAUUUUUACUUUUUAUCUUCAUUAAUUUUUUCUCCUUCUGAUAGAGGAUCAAAGAUAUUAAGAUGUCACAUUUACUGUUGCUGCCAUGACUGAAGCCGAAAAGCAGCACAGAACCGUGCGGAGGGUGGGCCCUGACUUGGACCUGCCUCUAAGGAAGGGGUGAGCCUGGACUGCUGAGUGGGGGUGUAGGAGCUGCCUCUGUGUCUGCACCUUUAGCAGCCCUCUAGCCCAUCUCUGACUUCAGCCACGGCUGUGGUAGGCAGUUUCACUCUGCUUUUGCUGCUGGUGUUCCACCUGCAGACUCAUGCCACUUGUCUUUCUCCAUUCCACACUCAGACCUUCUCCCAAUGCCCGGAAGCUUUCUGGGCUGGCUUGCAAGCCCAGCUCAGAAGUGCAGAGGAGUUAAUACCCUAUAGGCAACCCUCAACCAACACAGAACGGUGGCUGAUGGACAAAUGCUCCAGCCUCCAGUCCAACAGGUGGACACUUUCGGGAGAUAUUCUGCACACUUCUCAGAGGUCCUGGUGGAAUUGAACUCCCACCGCUGACAGUAGUGACCUCAACAAUGCAUCCAUAGAUGAACUCUCCCCUUCUCUGUCUCACUCCCCCUGUCCCUUCACUCCUGCUUCCUGGGAUCACCUGUACCAAGUCUUGUCUCAGGCUCUGCUUUGGGGGACACUACAGUCUGGGAAAUGUUUGAUGUGGACACAAGCAGGACUAAUGGUGGAACUUCUAAGUUAGCCUCCCUCCUGCAUGUGGGAUGCCUUGAAGAAAGCUGCAGCGUAGAUGAAAAGGAAACGCUAUACCGUCUAACAGCUGGGACACCGGAGACCACGCGGUUCUGCUGCAGGCCCCAUAACCACCGAGGACACUAUGAGAAGCAGCACCCUUCCUCGAGCUCUGAGAAAGCACCCCUGCUUGGACCGACUGAGACCUGUGUCAGCGACAGCUGGGGCGGUGUGGGUGACAGGACUACCAGAACAGGGUGAUCCUGUCAGAGCCCCUCUCUUCAGGACUGCCAUGCCUUCAGCACAGCUCUCAGCAGCUCCAGCUCUCCACUAACAGCCAAUGGAGCGCCGACCAACACCUGGCAAGUGAAUCUGGCUGCGGGGACAUCCCUAAGGUCCCCUCCCCCAGCAGGUGUCCACAGAGCAACGCUGAGUAGGACUGAUUCCUGGGCAAAUGUAAGCAACCCUGGAAUAUUUGAAGGUAGAAUUAUUGAAAAAUAUUUGACCAAGACAAGGAUUGGACUUUGUGCUAAUUUGACACCUAGCAGAUCAGAGCUGUAAUUGAGGCUUAAAAAGAAACGUGAACCCAUUUUAUCAUCACAAGUUGGUAAAGUCAGGAAUGUAUUUUACAACCACUUUAUCAACAUUUACUCCAACAUUUCCCAAAACUCAUUCAUUUGCCUAGUAUCUAACAACUUACUAUCUGUACUAUUCGUUACUUAAUAUUUUUCUUUAAACCAAAACACUUUUUCAAACUUAAAUAUCCAAGUAAGCUUCAUACUGAAUGAAAAUAAAUGUGGAAUUAUGGAUCUGGUGCUACUUAUAUUUUUCUAACACAUAUGAAAACAAGCACAUAACUAUUAGAAAAAUCACCUCAAUUUAUAUGUGGUAUGCAUAUUUCACAUUGGGAAACAUCGAUUAGCCAUGACUAUAAGUUUUCCUGACUUUGUUUCUCAUUAGAUUGCUAAGGUAUUACAAUGCUUUUUGCUUUCUGAGAUCUUAAUUCUCCGUGAAUUUUCCUUUGGUCAUAAUUGUUCCGCAAAGGUUGUUUCUCAGAAAGAGUACUUUCGAUACUUGACAUUCCUGAAAGUAUCUCUCUUUUGUUCUCAGUUUGCCUACUGCAAAAUUUUAAUAUCAUAAUUCUCAAUCUACAGGAUUAUUUACAUAUUGCCCCAUUGUCUUCUAAUUUUUAACAUUGCAAAUGAGAACUCCAACGCCAGUUUGAAUCUCUUUCUGUAGGAAAGUUUAUAGGAUUUUUACAUUAUCCUUGAAAUUCAGAAAUUUUACCAGCUAUGUCCUUGGGUGGAAUUUUUGCAGCAAUUCUGCCCAGGACUCAGUGAACCACUUCAAUCCAUAGAUAAAACAUUUUUCAGCUCAGGAAAUUUUCUUUCGUUAUUUUGUUAAUUGACACUUCACUUCUACCCAUCGUUCUUACUUAUUCUAAGACUCCUGUUAUAUGAAUAUUGGAACAUUAUAUCCAUCUCUCUCUCUCUCUCUCUUUUUUUUUUUUUGAAGAUUAGCCCUGAGCUAACAUCUGCUGCCAAUCCUCCUCUUUUUUGCCGAGGAAGACUGGCCCUGAGCUGAUAUCCGUGCCCAUCUUCCUCUACCUCAUAUGUGGGAACCCCGCUACAGCCUGGCCUGUCAGGUGGUGCUUAGGUCCACACCGGGGAUGUGAACAGAUGAACCCCAGGCCUCUGAAGCAGAACGUGCAAACUUAACUGCUAUAUCACCCGGCUGGCCCCACCUCUCUCUUAUUUUUUAUCUCAUGAAUUUAUCUUUUUGUCUUUGUUCUGAGAAGAUUGUAUUAAUUCUUGUGAGUUUAUCUGAUAAUGCACUCAGUCAGUUUUCCAUAGUAUAUAUGCAUUUCUGUUUUAUUUUGGGGCACAUACAAUCAUGUAUUUUAUUUUCAAGGACUGUUUCUUGUUCUCCAUUUCAUGCUUUUCUUCUCCUCUAACAAUUCACUGAGAUACAAAUGCUGAUGAGGAUUUUAGGCUGGGUAAUUUUAAAAAACUGCAGAUGAGAAGCAGGCUCUGAGGACUGGAAUUUGCUUGCUCUUUGAGAGAUAUUUGCAUUUAUGAGGGAAGGGGGGAUGACCUUGUAGGGACCUGAAAUUGGCCACCCCAGGAUGUGUCUCUUUGGCAUCGGGAUUGUUUUGGGCUGAUCGCUUUCGAUAAACUGGGACAGGGAAGGAGGCUCUGGGGAAUGGAACUUGCCCUUCUUGGGACACAUUUAUGUUUGUAAGGUAAAUCUCUAUCUGUAAAAGGUGCCUCCCUCUCUGUACCAGGAAGAAGAAGGGAGAUGACCUUGUCCCUAGAAACUCUUAAUGGGGAAGGCAAGAACUUAAGUUGGUUGCUGUCUGGCAAUCUCAUGUAACUGAUUUAGGGUGGUGGCUUCUAACCUUUCUAACCUUUACUUAAUCCGAUUUGAUUCUUGUCUAAAAGUCAUGGAUCACCCAAUGACCAGACCCCACCUGCACUGAUACCAUUGUAACUUUUGUUCAUGUUCUUUCCUUUGUCUUGUAAAGAGAUGACUCACAUGCCCAUGCCUUAUAAAAUUAGCCCUAACCCUCAACUCGGGGCAGCAGCAGCGGCUCUGCCUGCCCAUGGGCCCUGUCCCCAUGCUAUUCCACACUAUUCUCUAAAUACAAGAGCACUACUGCCAGAUCUUGAGAGUCCAAGAAAUCUUUCUUUCGACUCCUCGGCUCACCGACCCCGCAUCAAUGCGAACUUUUUAAAAGUUAGCUCCUGCUGUCUGUAAUAUUUCUUUUUAAUUGGCUCUGAUUGGUCUGCUGGUUCUCGUUUUGAGGCUGCUUAAUCUCUUCAGAUGACUAACUGGUGCUUGUUGUUAUUCACUGAUAUUUAUAAAUACGACAGCCUAUAUUGAAAGGGAUUGAGAGCUCUUCUGAGCGCUGGCAGCAGAUGCACAGGUCACUAGGAGCUCUCCUCGCUGCUCCCAGCCCAUCUUUGCCUCCAGCCCCUGCUGGCAGUCACGUGGGCAUCAGCAUCAGGACAGAUGCACAGGCAGGCCCUGCUUUUGCUGUGGUUGUCAGAUAUCCAGUCAUACUGGGUUCACAUCUUCCAGAAAGUUCUUGAGGUUUCUGUCUAGUUGAUGUUCUUCCUUUUAACAGUAGUGUUUCAGGGCUUUUUUCCCCCUUAUUUUUAUUGUUUUCAUUAUUUCAGUAAGAUUUGGGAAGUUAUUGUAAGCUCAGAUUGUUAACUUGAAAUGAAGCCUGCGUGACUUCCCAUUAGAUUGAGUCAGAUAUGUGGGUUCUGCAGCACCAGCCCAUAGACCUCCAACUUCCCAUUGCUAGAGUCUACACCUCUUGGCCUGAGAGCUUUUCCUGGCAGCCUGAGCCCACUCUGCCUGGGCAUGGCGGGUCAGAAGUACCGGAAUUUAAUGCACUCCUGCCUUUCAGCGACUGGUGGGAGUUGGUGUAUAAAUAUCAUGGCUUCCCAGGCUCCUGGAUGGGAAACUCUGAGGUGCUCACUCCGCACCGGCUCCCAGAGUUCCCGAGAGGAGAGUGUGAUCUGCUCACCGACAUCAGUGGUGGCCAGAUGCCCCCUUUAAAGCCUGCCCUCCCUUCUCUGUCUCACUUCCCCACCUCACUACCCCUCCUGGUUUGUCCUGGGAUCACGUCCCACAUAAACUACUUACAAAUGAAUCCUCAUCUAAGGGGAACCCAAAUCAAAACAUCAACAGAGUGUGGCAGGCUUUUUAGAAAGUUCUUCCUUCUGGUGUGGAGAGGGAACUGGAAGGGAGAAGCUGGAGGCCAGGGGAUCAGCACGGAGGUGUGAGCAGCAGGCCCACAGAAGGUCAGAGAGGAGCCAGCUCCCCUUCGUCUCAAAGGAAGACCAGCACAUGCAGCCAAGCAAGAGCGUGCUGAGAUAUUUUUUAAGUAUUUUGACAUUUACAAGAGUAGAAGUGACCAUGAUGGAAAUAUCCAGACUUUGCUGAACUUCCUAGCACUUCCUUUAUUUAUUUUAUUAUUUGUUUUUAUUGUUGCUGUUGUUACUAUUACCAAGGAAGCGCUCAAUCAAUAUUUGUUGAAUGAAUGAAUAAAUAAACGACUCCUAGGCUUCUGGUUGGCUGGUGGUACCAUUCACUGAGAGAAGGACCAGAGGAAAAGGAGCGAGUCCGGAAGGAGAGGUAGGGUGGGCAGUCUCCUCUAGGAACAUACCAGAUAACAGGGCACUUCAGAGCCUGCUUGGAACUCAGGGUGCAGGGCAGGCUUAGGCAGGGGGACAAUCAGACUAUAUCACAGUCAUUGUGGCAUGUGCUCCUGUCAAUCAGAAGGAAUCCAGCCCCAGUGCCAGAGCUGAAUCCUGGAGCCCCUAUGGAGCCAGAUGAUAACAUCUUAGCUGUUGGAUUACAAGGAGGAUGAGCAGAGGGGCAGGGCAGCCAGGGUCUUGGGACAGUGGAUAUUCACCAACAAUAGGUUCAGCUGCACCAGUGUGUACAGACUGAGCCAGAGCCCCGGCUUGGAGACAGGCAGAGAAACCAGGCAGACUGGAAGACACCAUCCGGCAAGGCUGGAGAAAGGACCCCCAGCUCCUCCCAAGAGACGACUGUGCAGGCCAAGGAUAGUGAGCACUUUCUGGAUGCUUACUCAGGGUCAGAACCCCAUUCCUAAGGCUUCCAACAAAUCAGCUCAGUGGAGAACAGUUUCCAUUACUAUCUAUUUUACAGAUAAAGAAACUGAGCUGCAGGGAAGGGUUCAAUGUAGGGGACAAUUUUUGGUAACCUGGAGAUUUUCAGUAACUUGCCUAUGAUUACACGGCUAGUACGUGGCAGAGCCAAAAUUCAAACCCAGACAAAGAGCUGUCUACACUUGACUUCCCUGUAAGUUGGGAUUCAAGGUGGAAGGCAAAGGGGGAGAUCAGUCAGGGCCGAUCAAAGAGCUUUGAGGAGUCUCAGUGGUGUCUUGGUGACCCAGGAGCUCAAGGAGUUACACAGAAAGGUUCUUCAGCUGCUAAGUAGGCAGGGAUUACUCACAUAUACUUGCCCCAACUGGUAAGGUCUCCGAGGAGUUGGGGGAGAAGAUAUAGACGAGAUUUGAAACAGUCCGUGGCAUUAGAAUGGACUUGGUGGAUUCGAAAAGUGGGAGCAUCAUUUACCUCUGUAUCUCCAAAUCCAAACAUAGUCUUGCGUACGAAGUCAUUAUUCAAGAAAUAUUUCUGAGUGGAUGAAUCAAAAAACAAAAGAUCUGCUUGCUCUUUCUCAAACAUGGCCCUGAUUACAUCUCUCACCUUUUAAAACCUUCCUAAGGCGGCCCACCAGUUGCAGGAUAAAGUCCAAAAGCCUUAUCCUAGAAUUCAAGGCUGGUGUGAUCUCUCCUCUGUCUAUCAUCCACCACUACAUCCCCCACACUCAGCCCUUCCCUGCUGCUGUGUGUGGCAGAUUCUAUUUUUCUGGUGUUCUUAACCUCCUGAGCUCCCAUUUUCUGGUCAUUGCAAAUGCCCUCACAUUUGGGUGGAGUAAUUGUUCCUUCCAUAUAUCUCAUCUCAGGUAGGGCUGCCGAUCACAGCCAUGGGCACACAACACAAGUGGGACCAAUUAGAAUCCCUUUCAGGAAUUAAUAUAAUCCCAAAGGGGAGCGGAAGACUUCUAUUUCCUCUGUGGCCACUCUCUGGGGUGGCGGAGCGAUGGAAGCCUGGAGUUGUCUGCAAAUAACUCCUUGGUUGGAGGCAAGCAAGUCAUAUACAGAGAAAAGCAGAAGCAAGACAGAGAGAGAGAGGGAGAGAACAGACUAAGCGACCACGCAGCUUGAGUCUCUUGCAUUCCUUGCCCUUCCUAGUUUCAUGAGCCAAUAUAUUCUUUUUUUUUUUUAGCUUAUGAAUUUAACUUGUGUUUCCCUUAUUGACUGAUACUUAGCUGCUCUGCAUUGCUGACACUUCCCUGAAUUCCAUAUUGUCUCCUACUUGCACUUCCUACAGGUCUAAGCAACAUAGUUCAAGCCAUAUAGAGUCCAGAGUGUGUGCGGAUUCUCAGGGUGGCUCUUGUGAUCCAUUCUCCUUGUUUUCUUGGUUCUUCUUUAGGCAUCACCAUGUGGCCACGUCCAGGUUGGCAGAGAGCAUCCCCUGGACCUCCUCCUUCAUGCUCUGUCUCCCCCACCUCCCAUACCUUCUCAGUCCCUUUGCUCCUUUGUGCCUUUCAAAGUCCACCUCCUCGUGGGGCCUGGCCCCUUGAUAUGAGUUGAUAUGGGACAGCUGCUCCUGUCCUCCUUGUUCUGCUUCUGGAUGGGGGAUCUUGGCUGCUUCAGGCUUCAGAACUUGAGGGUCUUCAAUAUGGACUCAGAGAAAGUACCUAAAGACCUCUAACACUGUAAGGAUUAACCACAUGUGGAAUAUCUUCCCUCACUUAUUAAUGUUCCCUGACACCAUUAGUCAUCGUUACAGCCUUAAGGUACAUUCAGGACUUCCAAAGAGGGGUGCAAUGGAGGCCUGGAGACCUUUCCGGCAUCGUGUUCCAACUGUGUGACAAGAUCCAGGUGUUAAACACACCAGAUGUUCAGAGGAGGAAGCAUGACAAAAAAGUAGGCAGGUUCAGGGGAACGGGGGAUAUCCCAGAGGAAGCAGAGUCAGCAUUGGCUGUUGGCAAGAGGGCACAGGUGGACCUAGAGUGGUUAAGGCUUUCCCAAGAUGGGGCAGGGCAUGGACGACAGCCUGGCAGAGGGGCCUGGGUGGCUCACUUAAGUAACCAUGAGGACAUCAGGCUGGUGACCUUGGCAAGUGACAGGAAAGCCGAUGUUCAGUGAAAGGUCUUGAAUGCCAGGCCCAAGGUUUCACUGUCACUCUCAGUCUGAACGGGGCUGUGGCUGACUCAGGGCCCCUUCUGGGAGAGCCGGUUGGUUAUGGCCUCCUCCGCUGCACAAAGAGGACUGAGAAGCCUGGGCGUGAACCUCAACCCCCCGCCUGCAGGGAGCAAAGGGGUCUCUCCCUGAACCAUCCCCUCUACCUGCCCCUUCUGUGACCAGAGCCGUGGUAGGCUCUGACUAAAAUGGACAGCAGCUUCACUUCACGACCUCAGGACCAGAGAAGGGGGAACCCCUUCCCUCAGUUCCGGUCCAUGCCAGGCAGCCCCUCCCCCAGUCACUCUGUGGGUGGGCUGGCUCUCAACAAUCCACCUCUGGGGCUUUCCGCCCUAUAACGGUCUUCAUUCCACGACUCAUUAGAAAGAUUCUCUCUGCUCUUCCAUUUAGGAAGCCCCUAAGUGGAGCUUCUGGCUGCCUGCUUUUUUUCUCCUCAAUUUCCUUCCUACCUCAGGGACUCUCAGGGUGGACUCACUUGCCAAGUUUCUGGGCCCGGCCAGCUGAAUGGGAGGAAGUAUCCCAGCAUGCCCCUUGCCUGGUGAUUCUGUUUCUCCUGGAGGGUCAAGCCAAGAGCCAGAGAGUCACACACGAGGAGCUGGCAGGGAGCAGAUAGGCAGCCUCACGCAGUGGUUCCUUGAAAAGAUUCUGGGCAUUGCAGCAAGACUGACCCUGGGUCUGAAACCAGCCCCACGCUCCCCAGCCGUGUGACCUGGAACAAGUGACUUCCUGAGCCUCAACUUUUUUUGUUGUUCAUUUGUCAAGUGGAGAUAAAAAUACCUACCUUGCAGGUUAUGGGGAAAGGUAAAUAGGACAUAUAGUGAUGUCAGUAACUGGCAGCUGAUAUUAGGCUUAUUUUAUCCCAACCUCCCCGAGAGAAAAAGGCAGACUUGUCCAAAAUCAUGCACUGAGACUGUCAGAGUUCAUCCUGUCUCCCACUCUGGGUUCUUCUGCCCUGCCCAGGCUGCCCCCACCAAGUGGGAGACAACAGGCAGGAGCAGAUGAGCAUGAUGGGAAAAUCUUCCUGCUCUCUGAUCAUCUCCUGCGGGCUAUACAAGUAGCGGUGACAGGGUCAGCAAACCCGCCCCAGGGCCACUUCCACAUCAGCGGUGGAGGACAAAGGAACUAGGGGGAAAAAGUCAGACAGAAGAAAGCGCCUGGAAAAGAUGUUUUUAUGUUCACUUACAUGGAAAAAAAAAAUCAAAGUAUACAGCCUGAAGAUAUACGUGUCUCAGAAAAUUCGUGCUCAUGAACCUGCUUGUCCAAUCGCAGUGAUAAUUCAAGAGUUGCCAAAUGGAAGUCACAAAAUCCGGGGUGGGGGCGGCGGGAAGGGCCGCCAAGGGACAGGUGGGAAUUAUGUGCUACUUCUUUUCUAGUUUCAGAUAAUUUGGAGUUUAAACUUUUCCAGCAAGUCAAAGUUAUAUAAACAGAUGCCAUACUAAAAUAUGAUUGUGUAAAAAUAUAAAACUCCUAGAGCAUGAUGGCAAUAAUAUUUUAGGAAAAAAAAACAUCGAAGUCUGGUAGUAUCAGAAAAUACAAAUAGGAUCAUUUGAGCAGUUCUGUUUCUCUGCAUGAACAGCAGUUGCAAAUGAUAGAUGUGUAUCAAAGAAUAAAGCAGUCUGCACAUAACUUAGCAAGGGGGAACGUUUCUAAACCGAGACUUUGCGUGAAAACAUGAAGGAUGUCUUACACUCAACAACGAUGGUUAAAAGGAGGAAGUUACUUUCUGAAGGAUGCAGUGGGUGGAAUGCCAAGGCCUUUGUUUCCAAAUCGCUCUGAACUGUGUGGGAUGUGUUCACACUGCCCGGGGUUUCCUGCAGAAUCUAGCACCAAUAUAUGGAUCAGAUUUUAUCCUUUAUCUGAGUCCUUUACGUCUUCAGUUUUGAGUGUACUGAGGUAUGUUUCCUUUGGUUGCUGUUGUGACGAAUGUGUAAUAAAAAACUAAUAUUUACAACAUUUAAACAUUUUAGAUUUCAGUGUCAACUUUUCACGUCAGAAAAAUUGGGAAACUCUUUAGGAAUCGUCAGAAGGUCAUUACUUCCUAGCGUCUGUCAUGAAACUGUUUUCGAUACACAGAACGAUGAGCCUAUUAGCGCAGCUGUACGUUUUCUGGUCCAGGAUCUUCCCCGUGCUCAGCGGGGAGGCCAGCCCCGUGACUGCCGUGUCGGCGGUUCGCCACGCUUCACAGUACUUAUCCACAAGACGCACGCCACGGGGGCUGGAGCCGUGCCAAACGGCCUUCUGGGGCCUAAAAGGGAAUUUUGCGACAUUACUUUUGGGAAGGACACUGCUUUGCGGCAUAUCUCAGUGAGCAAAUCGGCAUAAGUCUAGCGAAUCCAGUCAAACUCCCGAACCCUCCACGGUCUGACCCACAGCAACUCUCCAUCCUCUUGGCUCUUUCCAACCAGCUGAACGUGCUAUAUUCAACCACACUCAGCUUGCACGUGUUCUCACAUCAUCCUCCCCGCUUUCCUGAAUCUGAACCUUUGCCCCCGAGGCCCCUUAAUCUGGAGUGGCCUCUCUUUCAUUUUCAGACCAGCGAUUCCUU
rnacentral:lncRNA from 1 species